AAAAAAGUAAUCGAACUUCAGCGCGCUAUUGUAUCUGAAUUACUCUGCGUAUGAACGAGAUUUUUUCACAUUCGGAAAGAUCAUGCUUUUAGCUGUUGAAUGAUAUCUUCUUCAUGCCAAAUGGAUAAAAAAUGAGCAAAUACGAAUCCGAUAAAAAAUGUUAGUCAGAAUCGCAUAUUUUCACCGUUGAGAGUUGGGUCUAAAACCAUUGAAAAUGAACCCCCUUUGGUACUUAAGUUGAUGAAUUUCACUUCAAUAAACGACGCACAUAUUCAUAAUUAUUAUUAAGUAGGAAUAAAUCUUAGCUAAGCUACGACACGUUCGUGAUUAAUUGCUUUUUCUUUUGUUAUGCAUUGUUUUAAUUAGGCACAGAGGUGAAAAUAUGCGAUUUUGACUAACAUUUUUGAUCGGCCUCGUACAUGCUUAUUUUUUCUCCACUUGG